rnacentral:lncRNA from 1 species
GUUACAUCCCUUCUUGUUCUCCCCAAGAAUUAAAGAGGACUGGGGCCUGCUGGCAGGGGCAUUUGCUACAUGGCCAGCCCUGACUGGAUGCACAGCCCAAGCCUGAGGAGGUACUCUGAGGACAAAGCGACUCUGCACUGUCCUGGAGGAUCACCAGAAUGUGAUCUGGAUUUUGUGACUGGAGUUUGCAGAAGAGUUUUCAGAAACUCAAUAACAAGAGCUACAAGCUACAAACUGAAUCUUAGAGGAGUUCAACGUGAAGACGAGGUUCCAGCCCACAGAGAGCUCCUGGCUGAGCCACACAGCCCUGAAGCCAGCAGCUCCCACACAGACAUUGCAAGGAGGUGCAGGAGGAGGUCACUGCCUUGCAGCUUCCCAGACGUUUUCUUCCCUCUGGUUCCAUGUUUGUGUGCUGCAUUCCUGGUUACCUGCAUUCAUCAGCUCUGCUGUUGUAAUAGGCUAUUGCCUGCACGCUAAUAACCUCCUGUUCUUUAAUGCUCUCUUUCUAUUUAAUUAAUCUAUUUAUGAUAAUAGUAUGUCUCAUUUUGCGCUUUCACUCUAGAGGGUGUGUUUGUAUUAUCCCGCUGUAUAGCACUGACUGGCCCUAUUAUCAGUUAUCAUUAAAGGCAGCGGCCUGGCCUGCCAAUAAUU